AGAGAUUGCCGCGGAAGGUUGAGGGGAGGGCGAGGCGGCGCACGACAGCGCCUAUUGGCCGUGGGGGUUGGAUGCAGACAGCUAGGUCUAGGUUGGAGGGGCGGCUGCAGGAGGAUGAAGAUCCAGUGGUUGUGAAUAGUGACCGACUCGUAGAUGAGAUUUUCAGGUACUGAAACCUGACGGCGCUCCCUUAAUUGUUUGUUCGUUGGUUAUCAGUUUCUCACUUUAGCUGUACUCAAGUGUUUUUUUUGUGCCGAUGAAGUUCAAAUACCUUUGUUACAUUUUGGCGAAGUAUCAGGUGAAAAUGAAAAUCUGAAAAUUUCUAUCGUGGACUGUUGGAUCAGGAGCGGACGUCAUGGAUCAGAGGAUUUAGUUACCCCGUAUGAGAAAAUUGACCGCCUCCAUAACCUAGCCGCACCAUGGCGACUCGACGACGCGGCGCUCUCUCCAGGCGAGGGCGGCUCGAUGGCCGGGUGGCUACCCCUCCCGCAUCUGCGACGGUGCGUCGACGCUUCGGGCGACGGCGACUGGUGGUCAGGGCGCUGCCUCACACACAGGUGACUCGGCGGCCGGAGCUCCGCCCGCACACGACGGUGCUCGACGCCUCGGGUGACGCUACGGCCGCGCAGCUGCCCCUCAUGCUACGGCGACUCGGUCGCCGCGAGGCUUCCCCGCACAACGGUGGCUUGAUGGCCGUCGUGAUGCCCUCAAGCGGCGGUGACAUAGACCCAAAACUUAUUAUGCAGUGGCUUGCUCCUGUUGUCUUAUUCUACAGCCCAAUGCUUGCUUCUUGGUAUUAAUUCAGAAGUUGUAUCUGAAUGUUGUAUUUUUUGGUGAA